GAUGAACGCUGGCGGCGUGCCUAAUACAUGCAAGUCGAGCGGUAAGGCUUUCACAGAUUAUUUAACCAGAUAAGUUCUUCGGAAAACUGUUUGCAGCGAUGAUUCCCGGCUAGGGAAUCAGAGUUGAAUAAUGCGUGAAAGUACACGAGCGGCGGACGGCUGAGUAACACGUAGGAACGUACCCCAAAGUGGGGGAUAAGCACCGGAAACGGUGUCUAAUACCGCAUGUGAUCUUCGGAUUAAAGCUUCGGCGCUUUGGGAACGGCCUGCGCAUGAUUAGCUUGUUGGUGAGGUAAAAGCUCACCAAGGCGACGAUCAUUAGCUGGUCUGAGAGGAUGAUCAGCCAGACUGGGACUGAGAACGGCCCAGA
rnacentral:rRNA from 1 species